AGCUAAAUACGGAAGAGAUAAACGCUGAAAGCAUCUAAGCGUGAAACUCGCCUCAAGAUAAGAUAUCCCGGGGGUUUAACCCCCCUGAAGGGUCGUCGUAGACCACGACGUUGAUAGGCCGGGUGUGGAAGCGCAGCAAUGCGUUAAGCUAACCGGUACUAAUUGCCCGUGCGGCUUGACCCU
rnacentral:rRNA from 1 species